rnacentral:rRNA from 1 species
GACGAACGCUGGCGGCGUGCUUAACACAUGCAAGUCGAACGCAGUGGCGAACGGGUGAGUAACGCGUAAUCAACCUGCCCUUCAGCGGGGGACAACAGUUGGAAACGACUGCUAAUACCGCAUACUGAAGGAGGGGCUUGCGUCUGCUUCGCUAGUUGGAGGUGUACCGGACCACCAAGGCGAUGCUCAGUCGCCGGUCUGAGAGGAUGAACGGCCACAUUGGGACUGAGACACGGCCCAGACUCCUACGGGAGGCAGCAGUGGGGAAUCUUCCGCAAUGGACGAAAGUCUGACGGAGCAACGCCGCGUGAGUGAUGACGGCCUUCGGGUUGUAAAGCUCUGUUAAUCGGGACGCGGUACCGGAAUAGAAAGCCACGGCUAACUACGUGCCAGCAGCCGCGGUAAUUC